GGGAGCGGCAGACGGGUGAGUAACACGUGGGGAUCUACCCAAUGGUACGGAAUAACCCAGGGAAACUUGGAUUAAUACCGUAUGUGCCCUUCGGGGGAAAGAUUUAUCGCCAUUGGAUGAACCCGCGUCGGAUUAGCUAGUUGGUGAGGUAAAGGCUCACCAAGGCGACGAUCCGUAGCUGGUCUGAGAGGAUGAUCAGCCACACUGGGACUGAGACACGGCCCAGACUCCUACGGGAGGCAGCAGUGGGGAAUAUUGGACAAUGGGCGCAAGCCUGAUCCAGCCAUGCCGCGUGUGUGAUGAAGGCCUUAGGGUUGUAAAGCACUUUCGCCGGUGAAGAUAAUGACGGUAACCGGAGAAGAAGCCCCGGCUAACUUCGUGCCAGCAGCCGCGGUAAUACGAAGGGGGCUAGCGUUGCUCGGAAUCACUGGGCGUAAAGCGCACGUAGGCGGAUCGUUAAGUCAGGGGUGAAAUCCUGGAGCUCAACUCCAGAACUGCCCUUGAUACUGGCGAUCUCGAGUUCGAGAGAGGUUGGUGGAACUCCGAGUGUAGAGGUGAAAU
rnacentral:rRNA from 1 species